rnacentral:rRNA from 1 species
GAUGAACGCUGGCGGCGUGCUUAACACAUGCAAGUCGAACGGAAAGGCCCAAGCUUGCUUGGGUACUCGAGUGGCGAACGGGUGAGUAACACGUGGGUGAUCUGCCCUGCACUUCGGGAUAAGCCUGGGAAACUGGGUCUAAUACCGGAUAGGACCACUUCUUGGAUGUUGUGGUGGAAAGUUUUUUCGGUGUGGGAUGAGCUCGCGGCCUAUCAGCUUGUUGGCGGGGUAAUGGCCUACCAAGGCGUCGACGGGUAGCCGGCCUGAGAGGGUGUACGGCCACAUUGGGACUGAGAUACGGCCCAGACCCCGACGGGAGGCAGCAGUGGGGAAUAUUGCACAAGGGGCGCAAGCCUGAUGCAGCGACGCCGCGGGGGGGAUGACGGCCUUCGGGUUGUAAACUCCUUUCGCUAGGGACGAAGCGUUUUGUGCCGGUACCUGGAGAAGAAGCACCGGCUAACUACGUG